rnacentral:rRNA from 1 species
CAGCACCUCAAGUGGUCAGGAUGAUUAUUGGGCCUAAAGCAUCCGUAGCCUGUUCUGUAAGUUUCCGGUUAAAUCCAUUAGCUCAACUAAUGGGCUGCCGGGAAUACUGCAGCGCUAGGGAGUGGGAGAGGUAGACGGUACUCGGUAGGAAGGGGUAAAAUCCUUUGAUCUAUUGAUGACCACCUGUGGCGAAGGCGGUCUACCAGAACACGUCCGACGGUGAGGGAUGAAAGCUGGGGGAGCAAACCGGAUUAGAUACCCGAGUAGUCC